UCUCCGUAGGUGAACCUGCGGAGGGAUCAUCACAGAGUUCUCGCCCUCGCGGGUAGAUCUCCCACCCACUGUUAUCGUUACUGUGUUGCUUUGGCGGGCCGCCGGGCCCCGCUCGGCCGCCGGCUCCGGCUGGCGCGCGCCCGCCAGAGGCCCAGCAAACUCUGAAUGUUAGUGUCGUCUGAGUACUAUAUAAUAGUUAAAACUUUCAACAACGGAUCUCUUGGUUCUG
rnacentral:misc_RNA from 1 species